AGGAGAAAAAUAUUUAAAAAUAAUAUUUUUUACUUGAUUUAAAAUUUAUAAAAAAAAGUAAAGAUUUAGUUAAACGCGAGGUGAAGUUGUAUAAAUAAAAUCUCGCCCAACACCACAAAAAUAAAGUUUUUAUUAUAAUAACAUUUGUACAAAUAUAAAAAUAUAAAAUACAAUACAAAAUUAAAAAGGCCUCUUUAAAUGCAGCUCCCGACGAGUAUUGCAAAUAACCUGUAUAAAUAGGUGUAAAAAAUGUUAGUAACGAAUAAAUAAUAAUCAAAAUAAAUCAAACAAGUAUGUGUGUAUAUAAAUAUUUAAAAAUAUAUUUUUUAUUAAAAAGUGGGUUUAGAUGAAGUCAUAGUUGCAAAAUGGUUGUUCAAUUAAUUGACAGUCUUAAAUCAUUUUACUACGAAGUGAUUGCUCAAUUAAUUUAGUCAAAAUAUGAAUUAUAAAAUUUUGUGUUGUUAUAAAAUUUUGUAUCACCCAAAAAAUAUUUAUUUAUUACAUAUUUGCAUACGUAAAGUCUGUCUUUUAUCUAUGGAGGCCUUAAAAUUAAUAGUAAUUUUUUAUUGGCCAAAAUGUGUAGUAUCUGUUCAUUGUAUCAGUCAAAUAUAUUCAGAUAAUCAAUAAAAGGGUAAAAUGCAAAAAUAUGUAAAUAUAGUAAUAGAGUAAUGUAGGACCAUGUAAAAAUGCCAAAAAGUCUAUCAAUUUUUGAACAAAACAAGGGGUCACCCCAAUAUCCAAAUCAGUAGUAUUAAAUAGAGCAAACAGAAUGAGUCGAAAGAAAAACAUAGCUGGCAAUCAUAAAUCAUCCCCAAUCAAGCAUGUUCAUUCAAGAAUCAACACCUCCACAGAUAAUUCAAAAUCAACAAAUAAAAUCAAGGAUCCAAAAGUAGAGGAAAAAAAUGUUAGAGCACCAUAAACGACCCAAAUCCACAAAAUAAGCAAGUUAUUAAGCGGAUAGAAGACUGAAAAAUGAAGGUUGGCGUUACUUCAACGGCUUAUGCCGGAGUAACGCCGAAACCCAGAUUCCGACCAGAUCUAGCCAUUUUUUGAUGUGGCAGUGGUGGUGUCGCCGGCCAUGGCUGUUGAUCCAGCUGUUUUACCGGCAGAGAUGUAUGAAGAGGAGAUCCGAGAAGCGGCUGUUUUAUCGACGAGAGGUAUUAUGCGACAGUGAUGUUUAUAGCGUGUAAGGGAGAGAAGAAAGCAUGAGAUGAGAUCUGUUUUUUUUUUGUUCUACUCCCUGAGUAUGUGAUGUGCAAAUUGUAUUAAAGUAUGUGAUUAUUUUUAGAGAAAAGAAAGAGUAAUGUGUGUGUCUUGAGAGUGCAUAAAAAUCUGUGUAUAUGUUUUUUGAAUGAAGAAGAAAAAAAAUAGAUUCUGUGUAUUCUGUAAUAUGUGAGGGUGAUUGUAUAUUGUUGUUCUGUCUUAAAAAUGGUUCCCCCGGUGAAUAGAUGAUAGCAUGACUAUUUAUUUUGUGAAGAAUAAUAAUGUCAAAUAUGGAGGGUGUAUUGUGAAGAAAAAUGUCAAAUGUAACCGUUUGAAAUUGACAGUGAACGUUGCAAAAGCUGAUUAAUAGUAAAUUAGCAGAUUUUCUUUGAUUUCAUUUGACAUGUGCACUAUUUAACAAAUAAAUUAAAAGACAUCUUUUUUCUUGAAAUGAUAUAAAGAAAAAAAGUAAAAAACUCUACUUUUGCAUUAAAAAUCUUUGAAAGAGAAGAUAUGCAACAACGGAUCUUUUGCUUAAAAGUUUAAAACUUUUUGCUUAAAGUCUUAACACAUUAUUGCAAGUAGUAUUCAUAUUCUUACCAAUUUAUUAUUUGAAUCCUUUCUGAUCUUAAAUUGAUUCUUUUGAGCUUCUAAUUUAAUAGCUAGCUUAAUACAUAUUAAAUAAUAAUAGGAAAAAAU
rnacentral:lncRNA from 1 species